rnacentral:lncRNA from 1 species
GGCAGAACCUGGUGUCCUACCUCAGGUCUGCAGAGCCCAGAGGAGGUUCCCAGGGGAUGCGAGGGUCAAGACCAACCUGAGACCAAGGAGAUGGCAGAAUAGGGAGACCCAGCCACCCAGAGCGGCAGGGGUGGCCCUUAGCACCUGGCGAGGCCACUGUGUCCUCCCCUCUGAGCAGAACCCUUCCUGCCCGAGGGCCGCCCUGCUGCGACUGCCUGCUUCCUGCCUCUUCAGACCCAACAGAAAUAGCCCCCACUGGCCAGUCCCUGUGUCACGUGUCCAGUGAGCCUCCUGGACGUGGCGGGGAGGAGGAAGGGUCCUGCAUGCAGCGGCCCUGCCCAGGCCAGCAGCAGGAGGCAGGGCAUGGCGGCCUCUCCCCGGCCCUCCACUUGCCCCCAGAGCCCAGCUGCCUGUCAGUUGGGAACGCUGAGCCAGGUGGACUCUGGUUCAAAUUAAAGGUCACCCUGCCCUGCCCGCUGGGACCCUUCGAGCUGGGCGUGGCUGCCCUUUGGGGUUGGUUUUCUCCUGCUGACUGCCCAGGGGCCUUGACCCAAGCUUUGCUUAGCAUGCUGGACUGUCGGGUGAGUGUAUUGGGUGCUGUGCGACCACCACUCUGUCCUGUUCCAGAACAUUCUCUUCACCCAGAAAGGCACCUGUGCCUGUUAUCAGUGCCGGCCAUGCCCGGCCCCCUCUCGGCCUGCAGGGAGUGGACUCACCUGGGCCCGAGCAGCACGCCCCAGCUGGAGUCGGGCGCUCCCUGCAGUCCCGGGGUGUCCUAGGCGUGGCCGGAGAGAACUCGCCCGCGGAGCUCCUCCUGAUCAGCACAACCUGGCCCAGGCCACGUCCCUGCCCCUGGCUUUCCUUCCUCCACAGGGUGCCCGGUCCUCAGGCUAAGUCCCCAGGGCCAGAUCAGGACAAGGCUCCAUCCAGGCACAGGAGAGUCAAGCUGGCAGAGGCUGUGGGCAGUGCAUGGCCAGGCAGGGCCAGACUCACUUUGAGUGACCAGCUCUGACAUGAGUGGGGCUCUAGGGGACAGAAGGAUGGCAUCUUCCUCUCUCCAAGAACAGGAAAGCCUGGGUCCAGACUCCUCCAGGUCAGUGAGGCCACCUGCUGACGUCCACUCCCUCACUCUCACCCCUGGGAUAGGGUGCAUUGCCCAGCAGCUCUGCUGCCCACAACGUCCACUCUGUGGCUCAUAACAGGCGCGUGGCAGCAGCUGCCGUCUCAGACCAGCUCAGGGGGCACCAGCCAAGUGGCGUGUGUCGAAGACCAGGGCAAGGCAGGGCCUCCCUGUUCUCAGUCCAGCCGGGAGAGAGCUAAGGCUCUAGGACCUGCAGCCACACAGGGUCAGCACACAGACCCUGGCCAGCACUCAAAUGUGCCCCAAGCCCCUGCUUGGCUUGUGAAGCCCGGUGUCCUUGGCCAUGUCCAGUGACCUCAGAGCUGGGAGGAGCACACGAGAAGAGGGUGGUGAGGGGCCAGGGCAUCCGGCUCUGGCCUGGGACUGUCCCUCAGCCAAGCUGAGUGUGGUCAGAACACGGUUGGGUCAAGGGCAGGUGGAACAGCAUUGGGAGUACUGGACCUGCAGCGACCACCUGACCACAGAGCCAUGGCAGGGACGCAGCGACCACAGCAUGCAGGGCCUCCCCAGGGACAGUGCAGCAGUCAGCACUCAGCGCAGCCCAGCCAGCCCCCCAGCCACCGAGACGGGCUGAGUCAGGCCCAGCUGGACAGAGCCAGGGAAGGUUGUGCAUCUGCCUGUGAGUGUGGGGGAGUGCGUGUGUGAGUGUGUGCAUGUGCCGCGUGGGAGCGUGUGCUGUGUGGGUCGUGUGGGACCGUGUGCGUGUGCCAUGUGCCGCGUGGGAGCGUGUGCUCUGUGUGCCGUGUGCUGUGUGGGUUCAGGAGUUGGCAGAAGGCCAUCCUGCUGUCCCCAGUCAGCCUUGGGGAGGCGGCGGCCACCGACACCUUGGCUGCUACAGAGGAGGCCAGGUGUGAGCCAUCGACACGCCCAGUGGAGCGGAGCGUCCCUGCCCCCUCCUGGGGCCACUGCAGGGGCUGCCUGAGUCACAGGUGUCCCCCAAAGGUCUGAGUGUUCCUGGGAGUCCUCAGGGACGCUGGACCUGCACAGCCUGAGCCUAGGAAGGCCAGCGGGAGGUGGCUGAGCGGUGCCAUGGGGAGGCUGGCAGACCGGGAGCUCCAGCUAAACCUGGGUGCAAGCCUCGACUGCUCGUGGGCCCGAGGAGCUGGAGUCACAUCUGGUAAGUUCACCACCGCCUCUAGCCAGUUGGCUUUUUCUUCUUUUUAAAUCACCUUUUUAUUUUUUUCCAAUCUUUCACUCACUCACUCACUCAUUCACUGUUGGUCAUCUUUUAUUGACUCUUAGGAAUCCCUCCCAGCCACAGGUGCCUGCACGGUGUCACACAGACGGUAGCUUCUGUGAGCUGUUCCCCUGGUCCUCCUGCGGGCCUCGACCUCUCCCCGUCACACUCUGACCCUCCCGGCUCCUUCCUUUGCUUCCUUGCUCAAGGGACAGGGCUGGGCAGUUUCCUCCUGGGCACACAGCUACAGAGCCUUGUGGGGAGGCCCCCGGCUGGCUGGCCACCGUGGGGUUCCGUGGCUGCUCAGACACCUGCCGGGCACAGUCGGAGUCUCCUGGUAGCUUAGCGGCUGUAGGUGAAGCUCUUGGAACAAGGAGGUGUUCUUGGAGGUGUUCCGGCUGCGCUGCUGCAGGCCCCGCUGCGGGGUCACAUCCCCUGGCGUCUGGCCUUUGGAUCACGUGCGGAGGUUCCCUGGGCUACUCUGCCACUUGCUUCAACUCUGCUGGUUUAAGCCCGUGCUCUCCCCAUCCCCCACCAAGAUGGCCUUGACCUUCCUAUUCCUGUUUUCCAGCUCACCUUUACUUACUUGCUUUGGUCUCCUUGGGCUCAGUUGCUCUCUCUGCUUGGACCUGGGUCCCUGAGGGUGCCUGGAGGGAACCUGGAUGCACCCCAUGGGGCUGAGGCCAGGAGUCUGCCCCAUCUCCAGGUAGCCCGUGCUUGUGCCUGUGUGUCCCCUUUUAUUAAGAUGGCGUCUAGGUCGUUUCUCCUUCCAAGUUGACCCCUGGUGAGGCCUUCUCUCACUGAUUUAAAAUCCCGGAGUCUGGGGACGCUGCUGGCUGGGGUCUAGAGUGCAGCAGCACCCAAGGGGUCCCAGCCCAGCAGCCCUAGUGGAGACCAGGGAGGUCCCAGCACAGCAGGGUGCCGUGGCCCUGAUCUGCUUUGGGGCAUUCACAGAGACUUCCUCUGCCACCUAAAAUCUGCUCAUUUUAGUACUUGCUCCGUGGGAACUUGAAAAGAAGGUGUUUCCUCAAGUUUGGGUGCAGAAUUUAAAUUUAGAUCUACCCAAUUAACUUAAUUAAUAAUAAUAUUUCUCAGUUCCUCAUUUUUUAACAUUUCAUUAGUGAAUUUGAGAGGUGUUGCACUUGCUACAGGGUCCAUUGGCUUCUCUGGGACCAUGGAGGCAAUAGGAGCCCCCUCGAGGUGGGGUGUCGCUAAGUACCAGGAAAGUGCAGGGAUCUAACAGACCACCCAGAAGGGCCCGCCCUGCCGCCUAGCUUGGCAGGAGAAGAAGCAGGUCAGUCAGGCAGGAGGGCUUCCAACAGACAGUGCUGGGACGACCAGGCACCUGCAGGCACGGGCCGAGGCCUGACCACGUCUCGCAGCUGACACAGAGCCCACCUCGUCCAGAGCCA